UACAGAGGUCUCAAGCGUUGUUCGGAUUCAUUGGGCGUAAAGGGCUCGUAGGUGGCCAACUAAGUCGGACGUGAAAUCCCUCAGCUUAACUGGGGAACUGCGUCCGAUACUGGAUGGCUUGAGUUUGGGAGAGGGAUGCGGAAUUCCAGGUGUAGCGGUGAAAUGCGUAGAUAUCUGGAGGAACACCGGUGGCGAAGGCGGCAUCCUGGACCAACACUGACACUGAGGAGCGAAAGCCAGGGGAGCAAACGGG
rnacentral:rRNA from 1 species